UGAAGUGUUUUCCAGCUCUAAGUGGCUGGAAAACACUUUAUACUGCCUCUUUAAGCUAUAAAUAAGUUAAAUAGAGACAAUGCACUUGCAGAAGUUGGCUAUUUGUUCUACAGUAUUACCUGAAUGAAAGAAAUUCAGUGAUUGAUUGACCGAUAACCAAGUGAACUCACCCAGUUAAGCUCAUAUUUGGCCAGUUUGAUCACACGGUAAGCAGCUGAUGCUUCACUAAUAUAAUGGCAAGAGGAAGCUUCUCCACAGACAUGGACGGGAAACAAUGUGCCCAUAAUCCCUCCCAGCACAUGGCCGCUGUCCUUGGCCUGAGAAGGAGCAGCAUCCCACAGGCAAAAACAUGUUCUCAUCUGGACAGAGGAGAUAACCGCACCUCACAGCCGUGAGCCUCCCUCCCACUCUCCCACCAACCUGUCUGUGCAGCACCAUCUUUCCUCAAGGCCUUGCAAGCUUUUUAGAAACAACUGUCCAUCAGAGCAGAGCACAUAUGCGGACCGAAACCGCAGCACAAUGCCACAAACUCUCAGAGAAGAUGAGAGGAUGGAGGAAAAGGGGCUGCAGAGUGAGAGCAAAGCUUUGUGUUUUAUUCUUUUUUUUCCUCCUUUGCUCUUCUGUUGGCUCUUAUUGUGAGCUUCAGCCUUUGAUUUGGACAAAGAUUGGAGAGCUUAAUCCCCUCUCUAAGGGGGAAUGACACACAGGGCUUUUAUUUGUGACCAUAAAAUCAGUUUAAUUUAAAAUCAAUGUCUGACUUCUCCAUGGUGCGACUACGACGGGUUUCUCAGACAACGCACUGGCUAUAGAGAUUAUCAUAUUGACUCACUGACAGGGACAAGUGGAAGAAGAGAUGCCAUGCUGCAUGAGGCCACAACAGACAUAGUUACAGCCUAGAGCACUUCACAGUAUAGAGAUCUGCAAAAUAAAGCAGGUGCAGCUCAAGUGCAUUCUGACUGCUUCACUCUUAGCUGCUCAGAUCACAUCUCUGAAGCUGCACCGACUUUGCUGUGAAUAUUUUAAGGAACGUUCGUUUUGUAUGUAUUUUAAAACACGACUGUUAGAUUUCAAUUUAUUUGGUGAUUGACAUUGCAGAAUGUUCUACUUUUUUUUUGGAACUCCUUGGUUUGCUUCAAAGUAUGUUUUGGGAGUUUUUUUGUUGGUGUGUGCUGUUGUUUCUUACAGGUUUGGCACCAUUUGAAAAACCUAUUCAACCAGCCCACUUUAGAUUUAAGAUAAACAUAGAAUUGAUUCACAGAGAGCGAUAUACAGUUUCAGUAUGUUGAUUUAUAACUGAUCUGACUGUUGCUUCUGGUUGGAGCUAAUCUCUCUGUAUAACUAUUAUGGAGUACUACUCUGCAGUGAUGACUCAUCAGCUGGGCUUAAUCAGAAAUAGAGUAAAUAACAUUUUGUUUCUACGCUCUGCAGCUCUGGACUCAAUUCUUGAAAGAAUGGACUCUGCAGAAAACAGCUACAAAAUCUUACUGUAUGCCUUCCAUUUUCCAGUAAGGGUAGCUUUUACUACAAUUUUUGUCGUAUUAACAAUAUGCAAUCAGGUUCAGUUUACAUUACCCCUCUGGUAAAAAUCUAAGUAAACCCAGUCGGUUACAUUUAGCAAUUAACAAUUCAGCAAUCCAGCAACUUGAGCAACUCCAGAAACUCCAGAAUCUGGUUUAGUAAAAUUUUCUAUCUUUUGUGACUUGUUUGGAGCAAACACAAAAAACAUAGAAGCAUUGAUUCAUGAGUACUUUCUAUUUACAGCUGCUGUCACACUGUUUCCUAUCUAGCAAAUCUAUAUAAGUUGAUGAAAUGAAGAUAACUGCAUAAAACAAC